rnacentral:rRNA from 1 species
UUAAUCCUACGGGGGGCAGCAGUAGGGAAUAUUGCUCAAUGGGGGAAACCCUGAAGCAGCAACGCCGCGUGGAGGAUGAAGGUUUUAGGAUUGUAAACUCCUUUUGUUAGAGAAGAUGAUGACGGUAUCUAACGAAUAAGCACCGGAUAACUCCGUGCCAGCAGCCGCGGUAAUACGGAGGGUGCAAGCGUUACUCGGAAUCACUGGGCGUAAAGAGGGCGUAGGCGGGGUA